rnacentral:rRNA from 1 species
CCCGCACAAGCGGUGGAGCAUGUGGUUAAUUCGAAGCAACGCGAAGAACCUUACCAGGUCUUGACAUCCCUGACAACCCGAGAGAUCGGGCGUUCCCCUUCGGGGGACAGGGUGACAGGUGGUGCAUGGUUGUCGUCAGCUCGUGUCGUGAGAUGUUGGGUUAAGUCCCGCAACGAGCGCAACCCUCGACCUUAGUUGCCAGCAUUCAGUUGGGCACUCUAAGGUGACUGCCGGCUAAAAGUCGGAGGAAGGUGGGGAUGACGUCAAAUCAUCAUGCCCCUUAUGACCUGGGCUACACACGUGCUACAAUGGGCGGUACAAAGGGUCGCGAACCCGCGAGGGGGAGCCAAUCCCAAAAAGCCGCUCUCAGUUCGGAUUGCAGGCUGCAACUCGCCUGCAUGAAGCCGGAAUCGCUAGUAAUCGCGGAUCAGCAUGCCGCGGUGAAUACGUUCCCGGGCCUU